GAUGAACGCUGGCGGCGUGCCUAAUACAUGCAAGUCGAGCGAACGGACGAGAAUCUUGCUUUUCUGAUGUUAGCGGCGGACGGGUGAGUAACACGUGGAUAACCCACCUAUAAGACUGGGAUAACUUCGGGAAACCGGAGCUAAUACCGGAUAAUAUUUUGAACCGCAUGGUUCAAAAGUGAAAGACGGUCUUGCUGUCACUUAUAGAUGGAUCCGCGCUGCAUUAGCUAGUUGGUAAGGUAACGGCUUACCAAGGCAACGAUGCAUAGCCGACCUGAGAGGGUGAUCGGCCACACUGGAACUGAGACACGGUCCAGACUACUACGGGAGGCAGCAGUAGGGAAUCUUCCGCAAUGGGCGAAAGCCUGACGGAGCAACGGCGCGUGAGUGAUGACGGUCUUCGGAUCGUAAAACUCUGUUAUUAGGGAAGAACAUAUGUGUAAGUAACUGUGCACAUCUUGACGGUACCUAAUCAGAAAGCCACGGCUAACUACGUG
rnacentral:rRNA from 1 species